AUGCAAGUGAGGGAAGCGAGGAUCACAGCCCUCCCGCCGUCCAUGCAGGACUCACAGCAGAAGCCACGGGCAGCGAGGUUGUUUCCCCCGACGGAGGUGAGAGCUGAUGGGGCCCCUCUCUCCCUUCAAGGACCAUCCUUCCCUGAAGGAGGAAGGAGUUGCAGCCAGAGACUUGGAAGGGACGCAGGCAUGAUGGGGCCUGAGUUUCCUUCAUGAC
rnacentral:lncRNA from 1 species